UUGCUCUUCAACGAGGAAUACCUAGUAAGCGUAAGUCAUCAACUUGCGUUGAUUACGUCCCUGCCCUUUGUACACACCGCCCGUCGCUACUACCGAUUGAAUGGCUUGGUGAGAUCUCCGGAUUGGCGUUGGGGAGCCGGCAACGGCACCCCUUGGCUGAGAAGCUGAUCAAACCUGGUCAUUUAGAGGAAGUAAAAGUCGUAACAAGGUUUCCGUAGGUGAACCUGCGGAAGGAUCAUUAUUGAUUGGUCGAAAGACCUUAUCAGAUUCUACCACCUCUGUGAACUGUUGGACCUCCGGGUCUACAAUCAAACAUCAGUGUAACGAACGUAAGAGUAUCUUAACGAAACAAAACUUUCAACAACGGAUCUCUUGGCUCUCGCAUCGAUGAAGAACGCAGCGAAAUGCGAUAAGUAAUGUGAAUUGCAGAAUUCAGUGAAUCAUCGAAUCUUUGAACGCACCUUGCGCCUUUUGGUAUUCCGAAAGGCAUGCCUGUUUGAGUGUCAUGAAAUCUCAAUCCUCCUAGGUUUUUGACCUGGUUGGACUUGGACAUGGGCGUCUGCCAGCAAUGGCUCGCCUUAAAUGACUUAGUGGAACAUCCCGCAUCAGUGUUAGACGUAAUAAGUUUCGUCUCUCCUUGUGGUGAUGACUGCUCAUAAUCUGCCAUCGCGCACUUUUGACUUUGACCUCAAAUCAGGUAGGGCUACCCGCUGAACUUAAGCAUAUCAAUAAGCGGAGGA
rnacentral:rRNA from 1 species